GCCUGUCCCCUUCAAGCGCGAAUAAACCCUCUCUCUCUCUAAUAUCAAAGCCACAACUUCUCUCACUCUUCUUUCUUUGCACACACAUUUCCCUCACUGCACUCUCUAUCUUUAAUUUCCUCACCUCAUUUCUGCCUUGACAAAAAGGGAAAAAAAAACAAAAAUUUAAACUAUGGAAGCACCAGAAUUCUAUGGUCAGUCUGGGAUUUGUUCGCAAUUUGCAAAUGAAAAGCACCAUUCUUUGGAUUCUAAGCCCAGUGGCGGUGGAGGAGGUGGUGACCAUUUCAUCGUUGAGGACCUCUUGGACUUCUCUAACGAGGAUGCCGUUGUUACCGAUGGUGGCGCUUUCGAUACCGUUACUGGAAACUCCACGGAUUCCUCCACCGUUACUGUUGUCGAUAGCUGUAAUUCAUCGUCCUUCUCGGGAUGUGAGCCUUGCUUUAAAGGAGAUGUUGGGUCCCGUAAUAUUGCCGACGCUCAAUUCUCUAGCGACCUUUGCGUGCCGUAUGAUGAUUUGGCUGAGCUCGAAUGGUUAUCGAAUUUCGUGGAGGAAUCCUUCUCCAGCGAGGACUUGCAACAGCUCCAGCUGAUAUCAGGCAUAAGAGCUCGACCAGACGAAUCAUCAGAAAUCCGAAAUUUUCAAUCUCACUGCAAUGUUAACAAUACUACCAUCAGCAACAACGCUGCAGCCACCAAUAACAACAACAACAACCCAAUUUUCCACCCAGAAAUGUCCGUCCCAGCCAAGGCUCGUAGCAAACGCUCUCGAGCUGCCCCAUGCAACUGGGCCUCUCGCCUUCUCGUUCUCUCCCCCACCACCUCAUCAUCGGACCCCGAAAUCGUCGUCACCCCAGCAAACCAUCCUAUCUCUGAGAAAAAGACAGUUAAAGCUCCUGGGCCAAAGCGAAGAGAAGGUGCCGAUGGUGGAGCUGGGAAUGGUGACGGGCGAAAAUGCCUGCAUUGUGCCACAGACAAGACGCCGCAGUGGCGGACCGGACCAAUGGGUCCAAAGACGCUGUGCAACGCUUGUGGUGUGAGAUACAAGUCAGGUAGAUUGGUGCCGGAAUAUCGGCCUGCCGCGAGCCCAACUUUUGUGCUCACUAAGCAUUCAAAUUCACACAGGAAGGUGCUGGAACUUCGGCGUCAGAAGGAGUUGCUAAGGGCCCAGCAGCAGCAACAGCAUCAAUUUCUCCAUCACCAUCAGAGUAUGGUUUUUGAUGUAUCCAACGGGGACGAUUACUUGAUUCACCAACACGUGGGGCCCGAUUUCGGGCAGCUGAUCUAGUAACGUAGGGAAGAGGCAGCAGGUGAUUCAGGUGGGGUCUUCUGAUGAUCUAGUAGCGAAAUUCGUUAGUGAAUUUCGUUUAUUCUUCUAAUUUUGCCUAACUUCCUUUGAUUUUCUUAGACUCUUUAAAGUUUUUUUCUUUUUUUUUCCUUUUCCAAUCUCUAGUUGCCUUUUGUUUACCAAAGUUGGCAAGCUCUGUGGAAACUCAAAUUUUCAUAAUUCAGGAUUUUUUUUUUUCAAAA
rnacentral:misc_RNA from 1 species